UAGAUAGAUAAAGGUUUGAAGAUAGAUAGAUAGAUAGAUAGAUAGAUAGAUAAAUGUUUGAAGAUAGAUAGAUAGAUAGAUAGAUAAGGUUUGAAGAUAGAUAGAUAGAUAGAUAGAUAGAUAGAUAGAUAGAUAAGGUUUGAAGAUAGAUAGAUAGAUAGAUAGAUAAGGUUUGAAGAUAGAUAGAUAGAUAGAUAGAUAGAUAAGGUUUGAAGAUAGAUAGAUAGAUAGAUAGAUAGAUAAGGUUUGAAGAUAGAUAGAUAGAUAGAUAGAUAGAUAGAUAGAUAGAUA